rnacentral:rRNA from 1 species
UACGUAGGGGGCAAGCGUUGUCCGGAAUCAUUGGGCGUAAAGAGCGUGUAGGCGGCCCGGUAAGUCCGCUGUGAAAGUCGAGGGCUCAACCCUCGAAUGCCGGCGGAUACUGUCGGGCUAGAGUCCGGAAGAGGCGAGUGGAAUUCCCGGUGUAGUGGUGGAAUGCGUAGAUAUCGGGAGGAACACCAGUGGCGAAGGCGGUUGCCUGGAGCUUUGCUGACGCUGAUGCGCGAAAGCGUGGGGAGCGAUCCGG